AUGACGGGCGCCUUCCAGCGGCUUCCCCAGGAGUCACACCCAGCAGCUCAGCCACAGGCCACCGUGGCUGUGAACGGCUCCCUGUCCCAGCCCGUGCGGACCCAGCCGCCCUCCCUCUCGGCAUCUCCGGGAAUGACAGACCGACUCACCUGCACCCUGAGCAGGGACAUCAGUGUUGGCGGCUCUAACAUCUAUUGGAUCCAGCAGCAGCCAGGGAGCCCUCCCCGGGGUCUGCUUUCCUACUCCUCAGGCUCCGAGAAGCACCAGGGCUCUGGGGUCCCCAGCCGCUUCUCGGGCUCCAAAGACGCCUCGGCCAAUGCAGGGCUUCUGCGCAUCUCGGGGCUGUAG